UACGAAGGGGGCUAGCGUUGUUCGGAAUUACUGGGCGUAAAGCGUGCGCAGGCGGUCUUCCAAGUCAGUGGUGAAAGCCCGGAGCUCAACUCCGGAACUGCCAUUGAAACUGUGAGACUCGAGUACGAGAGAGGUGAGUGGAAUUCCGAGUGUAGAGGUGAAAUUCGUAGAUAUUCGGAAGAACACCAGUGGCGAAGGCGGCGACCUGGGCCAAUAUUGACGCUGAGGUGGCGAAAAGCGUGGGGAGCCAAACAGGG
rnacentral:rRNA from 1 species